UACGAAGGGGGCUAGCGUUGCUCGGAAUCACGGGGCGUAAAGGGUGCGUAGGCGGGUCUUUAAGUCAGGGGGGAAAUCCUGGAGCUCAACUCCAGAACUGCCUUUGAUACUGAGAGCCUUGAGUCCGGAAGAGGUAAGUGGAACUGCGAGUGUAGAGGUGAAAUUCGUAGAUAUUCGCAAGAACACCAGUGGCGAAGGCGGCUUACUGGUCCGGUACUGACGCUGAGGUGCGAAAGCGUGGGGAGCAAACAGG
rnacentral:rRNA from 1 species